rnacentral:RNase_P_RNA from 1 species
CGAGCCGGGCGGACGGCCGCGUCAAGAUCUUCGAUCUUGCCGAGGAACGUCCGGGCUCCACACGGCAGGGUGGUGGGUAACGCCCACCCGGGGUGACCCGCGGGACAGUGCCACAGAAAACAGACCGCCGGGGAUUUCGGUCCCCGGUAAGGGUGAAACGGUGGUGUAAGAGACCACCAGUGCCCAGGGUGACCUGGGCAGCUAGGUAAACCCCACCCGGAGCAAGGUCAAGAGGGAACGCUACGGCGCUCCUGCGCGGACGUUCGAGGGCUGCCCGCCCGAGUCCGCGGGUAGACCGCACGAGGCCGGCGGCAACGCCGGUCCUAGAUGGAUGGCCGCCUCCCCGGCCGCCGCGAGGCGACCGGGAGACAGAACCCGGCGUACAGCCCGACUCGUCUG